rnacentral:rRNA from 1 species
AGUCACUGACAUUAGAUACCCGUGUAGUCCAGGGUGUAAACGCUGCAGACUUGGUGUUGGAGGCCCUUCGGGGGUGUCCAGUGCCGGAGAGAAGUUGUUAAGUCUGCUACUUGGGAGUACGUCCGCAAGGAUGAAACUUAAAGGAAUUGGCGGGGGAGCACAACAACGGGUGGAGCCUGCGGUUUAAUUGGACUCAACGCCGGACAACUCACCGGGGACGACAGCAAUAUGUAGGCCAGGCUGAAGACCUUGCCUGAAUCGCUG